UGGCUGACCACAGGUUCCUGGAU
rnacentral:piRNA from 2 species